rnacentral:lncRNA from 1 species
UUCUGUACAAGGACACAAGUCCUACUAAAUACCAAUCAUACAGGCUGCUGUAUUACGGUUGAUGUCAUAACAAAUAAUGAAAAGAAACAUAUCUCAAGGAAUCCAGAAAUGACAUCUUCUUCAAAAACACAUUUUGUCCAAUCCUCUGGUAUAUGCCUCAGCACCACAGUAAAACAAAUACUGAUAAUUUACCUCAGUUCUGUACAAACUCUGUAUUAUUGGGUUCCAGUCAACUUAUCUCGACUCUUCCUGGCGCCUGCCUUUUAUACCAUUCUAACAAGAACUUUAAGGAUAUCAUCCAUGGACGGCCUGCGCAAAGGAUCGUCCUCCACACACGUCUUCGCAAGUACAGCUAGACACAACGCCUCAGCGAGAGGGUAAUCUCC